UUAAGUUGCCUUAAUUAAGAAAUGUAACCCCCGAAAUAAAACCCCUCAAAACCCUAAUUUUCAUUAUUCAUUCUAUCAUCCUAAGUUAAACAUAUAAAAAAAAAUCCUCAUAGUGUCUCUUAUGCUGCCACCUUUGGAGGAAGGAGAGGGGUUUCGGUUGCUCGGUUUUGUCUUUCGAGGGUUGCAUCGUUCUAAGCUUUGGAAAUUGACCUCAAUUCCUGAGGGAUCAUUAAAGUAUCUUCCUGAUUUACGAGGUUGUGUUUGUGUGCUUAUUUGGAAAAGGUGCCCAUUUUGUAAGAGGAAAGUAGAGCCUUAGUCGGGUGAUUUUGUGACUUUUGAUCGUGCAGUGAAGCUUACAGCAGAAGGAUCAUAGACAGGCGUAGCAGGUAUUGGAGCUUCUUUUGCAUUACAUUGCAUUGGGUUGGAAUGAUGAGGGCGAAGCAUAACUCGUGUCAUACCAUUAUCUUUUGAUUUUGUAGCUGUUGUUAUCUUUUGUAAGCUUUGGUUGUAUAUGUUUCGUUAUGAGGCCUUGUGUCCUCCCUUGUAUAUUUGUAUUUUUGCUGCGUAGCUUAUAACUCUGUAUGGUUUUAAGGAAUUAAGUCUUUUUUUUAACGCAAACGUCGACACUGGAACCACGAUCCAUGCUUGGCAUGUUGAUUUGAGAAGCCGGCAACGAAUCAUUCCGCCGUGGAGAUUUUAAAGGCAAUGAUGCCUUAGAUUAGUUUAAUGUUUUUAUAUUGCUAAUUGCUCUACCACAUGUUCGAUUUUUAGAAGAGAUGCUGCCGAAAUUUCCACGCACCUUUUUAAAAUUAAUAUUUAACAUUUAUCCAAAUUCUUUUUCUUUCUUAUAUGUAA